AACAGGAUUAGAUACCCUGGUAGUCCAUGCCGUAAACGUUGGGAACUAGAUGUGGGGACCAUUCCACGGUCUCCGUGUCGCAGCUAACGCAUUAAGUUCCCCGCCUGGGGAGUACGGCCGCAAGGCUAAAACUCAAAGGAAUUGACGGGGGCCCGCACAAGCGGCGGAGCAUGCGGAUUAAUUCGAUGCAACGCGAAGAACCUUACCAAGGCUUGACAUAUACGAGAAUGGGCCAGAAAUGGUCAGCUCUUUGGACACUCGUAUACAGGUGGUGCAUGGUUGUCGUCAGCUCGUGUCGUGAGAUGUUGGGUUAAGUCCCGCAACGAGCGCAACCCUCGUCCUAUGUUGCCAGCACGUAAUGGUGGGAACUCAUGGGAUACUGCCGGGGUCAACUCGGAGGAAGGUGGGGAUGACGUCAAAUCAUCAUGCCCCUUAUGUCUUGGGCUUCACGCAUGCUACAAUGGCCGGUACAAAGGGCUGCAAUACCGCAAGGUGGAGCGAAUCCCAAAAAGCCGGUCUCAGUUCGGAUUGAGGUCUGCAACUCGACCUCAUGAAGUCGGAGUCGCUAGUAAUCGCAGAUCAGCAACGCUGCGGUGAAUACGUUCCCGGGCCUUGUACACACCGCCCGUCAAGUCAUGAAAGUCGGUAACACCCGAAGCCAGUGGCCAAACCCGCAAGGGAUGGAGCUGUCGAAGGUGGGAUCGGUGACUAGGACUAAGUCGUAACAAGGUAACC
rnacentral:rRNA from 1 species